rnacentral:tRNA from 5 species
UGAUGGAUAGCUCAAGGGGUAGAGCGCAUGAUCUCCAGUCAUGAGUUGUUGGUUCGAUUCCAACUCCAUCAGCCA